UACGAAGGGGGCUAGCGUUGCUCGGAAUCACUGGGCGUAAAAGCGCACGUAGGCGGAUUGUUAAGUCAGGGGUGAAAUCCUGGAGCUCAACUCCAGAACUGCCUUUGAUACUGGCGAUCUCGAGUCCGGGAGAGGUGAGUGGAACUGCGAGUGUAGAGGUGAAAUUCGUAGAUAUUCGCAAGAACACCAGUGGCGAAGGCGGCUCACUGGCCCGGUACUGACGCUGAGGCACGAAGGCCAGGGGAGCAAACGGG
rnacentral:rRNA from 1 species